GAAGGAUAAAAGAUGUGCGGCAAAGCUCUUCCAGUGGACUCCUAGACCCACAGAAGGAAGCAAAGCUAUCUAGCCAGACUGCGCCUAGAGCAGCUGAACUCCAGCUCAUUUGCAGUUUCCUCAACUGAUGAAAAGAAAUGCAUACCUUCUGAGUCGUGCUGUGAAGAGUAAAUAAGCUAAGGUAUACAAAGCGCUUCACAUUCCUGAAUCAAAGAGGAUACAUAACAAAAGAGGUACUCCAAGAUUCCUGGAUACUAUCGUCUUCAGCAGAGAAAACCCGGAAAACCAUGGUGCUCAGGAUUUUUGACUGUCGUUGCUGGUCCUGCCACAUGGUGUCGCUGUUGAGACAGACAACCUUGCCCCGCUUGCCAUCUUCCUGGCCCAAGCCCAGCGACCUUAGGGGAAAGAGGCAGGCACCUGUGUGGAACUAUGGAACGCAGUGAUCUGAGAACAGCUGCUGUACCCUAUUUCAGCAUCCUGGAGAGAUCACCUCUAUUUAGGUACCUGUGUUGGAAGCAAAGCUGUAGGACUAUCACAUGUGCAAGAGGCAACUUGACCCCCACACAUGCUGCCCGUGGCUGGGGCUCAGUCCUGCUGCCUCACUUACUUCUCAGAUCUUUCAGAGAUACAUCCGGAAGCUCCUUGAUAGAUAGCUUCUUUGCAUGUGGACGGUCACCACCAUGCUCAAGUAAUUAGCAUCUUCCCCCUGGCAGUAUUGACUAGCAGGUUCCUGCUACAAAGAUGCCCUUGUAGGAGAGCCGCUGUGACAAAAAGUUGGAAAACCCAUCCUUCUGGGGGCACAUCUCUGCACAGAUGAAUUCCUUGGGACCAGCUGCCUCUGCCCACACUCAUGCGAAUAGGCCGCAACCAGGAGACAGAGAAAUGGUGGAUUCAUAUCAGCAGCUGACUCCUGUCACUACAGCCAGACCUCAGGUCUUUAAAAGUAAAGAGGGUGCCUGCCAUGGGAAAGAUGCUCACGAAGAGAUACCCAACAUAAACCAUCUAAUCCAGAGAGCAAGUUGCCAGCUUAGAUGUACAAUAUGAGUACAUUUUCGCUAUUUUUUCUUUUAUACUUUUCUAUUGCCUGAAUUUAUUUUAUUUUAUUUUUUUAAUUUUUUUUUAAUUUUUUUUCAAUGUUUUUUAUAUUUAUUUUGG